rnacentral:lncRNA from 1 species
GAACAAGUAAUAUUGGCAAUAUGUUCUUUGUUUUACCUGCAGUGUCCAUGGGUAAAAAUGAUUCUAACAAGUCUUCAUCAGUAAUUAAGAUCACCAAAGAAAAUACUACACUCACCCUUCUGUAAAAUGCAGGAAUGUCAAAGUCAGUAUCACUGUCAUACAGAAUUAAAUGCUCUUUGGAGUAUCACAAAACUAUGACAAAAACAAAUAUACAUAUUAUACACUAGGAAUCUAGGAGCAUAAAUGGAUUGUUAAUGUAAGCAGUUUUUCUUCAAAGGAAGAGAAUUUAAAAUGUAUCAGUAAAGCAUUUAUUUAUGAAAGACUUGAGAUGCAGGAGGUAUUUGAAAGCCUUGCCAUGUCAUGUGGUUAAGAGAAAAAGUCAUGAUUACUACUUAUACAGUAAGCAUUUAAAAUUAUUUUGAAAAUGUUUACCACACUAGUUUAAAUUCAAACUGUGAUAUAUGGCCAUGGUGGCAAGCAUUUCUCAGCAAGCAUCAAAUUUUCGAAGAACUGUAUAUAGUGAAGCAGUGUUCAUACGAAUGUGGGCAGUUUAUGACUAUGGCACAAGGGAGACAAGCUGACUUGGUGAAUUUUGUUUUCAUUAUGAGACUGUUGGUUUAAUAAUUAUAGGGGAGAAGAUAAUUAAAUCAAUCCUGUUGGAUUUGUUUUUAAUAUCAAAUUAAACAUGUUAGUAUUUUUUUUCUUGGACUAUUCCUUUACCUUUUUCUUUCUUUUCUCCUCUCCUCUCUCUCUCUCUGCCUCUCUUUUUUCUUUUUCUUUUUCUUUUUUUUUUAAGAGAGAAGAGAGAAAUUUAUUUCCCUUUUUGAGAUCAGUAUGAGUAUAUUUCAAUGAAAGCAUUUUUCCCCCCUACUUCUUCCACUAAUAAAAAAUACAACAACAAUUUUUCUGGUACGUAACUUACUGUUGCCUUUCCUCUGUUUUUUUUUUUUUUUUUUUUUGGAUGGUUGGCUUUUUUGUUUUGUUUUGUUUGCUUGUUUGUUUGUUUGUUCGUUGAGGUGCUGUUAUGGUGUAUGUCUGGUGCCUACAAUCAGGAGUAUAAAUCAGUAUAUCAGCUUAUAAGUAGAAGGAGAUCAUUUUUCAGAUACUAAAGCAUUCCCAGCUAUCGGUAACUUGACUCUGAGAGCUAGAUAGCAUAGAUUUUGCUAUCAGAUAACAUAUUUUGUUGUAAUGCAAUGUUGCUUAAAAAGAUAUUUUCUAUCCAGUUUAGGUUUUUAU